AAUUAUUGCAAGCUUCUUAAUUACUGCAGAUUUAUCUAUCCAAUUUCCAUACCCAUUUAAAAGAAACCAUCAUCUUCCUUCCUCUUCUUUUCUUUUCCUUUCUUUCUCUUCUUCUUCCUGACAGCGUGCUUACCAUCAUUAUGCGAUCAUCGACUCCCAACUCCAGUCACAAUGUGAUCCUCCUCCAGCCUCCAUUCACGGCCACGUGGCUCUUUUUCCAAUUUUCGUUCAAGCAAGCUACCUUUCAUUGCUCAAUUCUCGAUCAUUGAUCAUUCAUCGAUUGAACUUCUUCCUAGUCACUGUUCAUCAGCUCCUCGCUGGUCUCUCUUUGUCGUCAACACCAACCAAGCUGCCCUUCCUUCAUCGCUAGCUUGUAUCGCAUCACAACCAAUUCGUGGCAUUCUCUUUGCCAUUCUCGUGUUCUUGCUUCACUUGAUUUUAGGUACCAGCUGGUACUCAAGUACCUGCCACCUCACAGGUAUCUACAGCUUUGCAGAGAAGACUCUGUUAAAAUCUUUGCUGACCAGGUACCUUUGUUGACCAAUAGGUGUCUCUACAGGUGCAGGUACCUCUAUAAGUGCCUGAAACCUGAUACCUCUAUAGGUACUUCUAUAAAUGCUUAGCCUUCACCCACCUUUGUUAAGGUUCUUAGAAUGAAAGUGUAGGUCUAUAGUGCUCUUCAUCAGGCAUGGUAUCAGAUAUUGGGGAGAUGCCAAUUUAGCCUUGUUCCAAAGUCGCCUAUUGACUUUAAGCUUGCUCUAAGAACUUUCCUGAAUGCUAUAAUCAUUGUAUUUGAAUGUAAUAAAUUUAGUAUACAUUUAAUCACUUGGGUACUUAUUGAACAAUAAGCCGUGUUUUGGCUUUUAUUUAUGAAUAAAAGUGGUUAUAAG
rnacentral:misc_RNA from 1 species